rnacentral:tRNA from 1 species
GGAGAGGUGCCGGAGUGGUCGAUCGGGGCGGUCUCGAAAACCGUUGACCUUCGAAAGGAGGUCCGUGGGUUCGAAUCCCACCCUCUCCG